CACCAAUCGACAGCCAGACUAGUUGACAGUUCUCAUUCCCUAUUCGUCUGUCGAGCUGCUAAUCAACUCACCGAGUUCGUGGUGGAAAUAACGACUGGAAGGCGGAGUUGUAAAGGAUUGCCAGUAUUCUGCCCCAAUGGGUUGACCAAUUGUACUUAAACACGAUUCAAAUACCAGAAGCUACUAAGAACUGUGGGCUUGCGAAUUAUAAUUACUGCUCUACUCCAGGCAAUUGUUUAUUGACCGGCUAAGAGAAGAUCGCCGAGAAGCUCUGAUCUUGAAAUCUUGAACGUUUACACUAAGCAGGGGUGUUUAUUGUCGAACUGAGAGAAAAUUGCCUUCGUAAGCUGCUUAUAAAAUCUAAAACGCAGAUCUGACAGGUAGCCUAUUUUAUGCACUCCAUCGUGCUGAUUGGUCGUUCCUCAACUUAAAGAAUCUGCCACGGAAUUAUUGCCUCGAUAGUGCUCCUGAUUAAAAGGUACCUCUUUUACACGCAGCCCUGAUGUUUAUUGUCAAUCUGAGAGAAAAUUGCCGCGAACGAAGCUGUUUUCUAAAUCUCGAUCGCUCUCCAAAGAGGUAGCUCUUUUUACAUUUAACCCGAAUGUGUAUUGCCAUCUAAGAGAAGAACGCCGUGAAGCUCCAGUUUUAAAAUCUUGAACGCGAACCUGACAGAAAGAUAGCUCUUUUUACACUCAGCCCUGAAGUUUAUUGUUCAACCGAGAGAAAACUGCCGCGAAACUUUGCUUUAUAAAUCUCGGUUGUCCUCCUGAUUAAAAGGUAGCUCUUUUUAUGCAGCUUGAAGUCGAUUGCCCAACUGAGGAAACUGCCGUGAAGCUGUUUUUGAAGUCUUGAAGCGGACCUGACUGAAAGGUAGCUCUUUUUUACGCACUGCCUCUUGCUGAUUGGUCGCUCCUGAACUCAGAGAGAAGUCCGUGAAACCCCCGCCUUCUAAAUCUCGAUUGCCCCCCUGAUUAAAAGUUAGCUCUUUUUACACUCAUCCCCGAUGUGCAUUGUCCAUCUGAGGUAAAACUGCUGCGACGCUGUUCUCUCCAGAUCUCGGUCGACCUCCAAAUUUUAAAAAAGCAGCUAUUUUAAUACAACCCUGUACAUUGUACACCUGACAGAAAAAUGCCGCGAGCGAAGCUGUUUCCUGAAUCUCGAAAUUAAAUUAAAUUAAAGGGGCAGCUCUUUUUCCACUCAGCCCCGAUGUUUACUGUCGAACUGAGAAAAUUGCCUUGAUGCGCUGCUUAUAAAAUGUUGAACACAGAUCUGACAGGUAGAUUAUUUUACGUACUCCAUCUAGCUGAAUGGUCGUUCCUCAACUCAGAGAAUCUGCCCCGAAAUUAUUGUCUCGAUAGCCCUCCUGAUUCAAAUGUAGCUCUUUUUAUGCUACUUCUUACCAGCUAAGAGGAGAUCGCCCCGAAGCUCUAAUUUUAAAAUCUUGAAUGCGAACCUGACUGAAAGAUAGCUGUUUUUAUACUCAGCCCUGAUGUUUAUUGUUCAAUUUAUUUAUUUAUCGAAAACUGCCGCGAAACUCUGUUUUCUAAAUCUCGAUCAUCCUCCUCAUCCCUGAUGUUUAUUGUCUCGCUAAGCUUGUCGCGAGCUGUUUUCAAAAUCUUGAACGCGAACCUGACAGAAAGAUAGCUCUUUUUACAUUCAGCCCUGAUGUUUAUUGUCCAUCUGAGGGAAAACUGCCGCGAAACUUUGCUUUCUAAAUCUCGAUCGCCCUCCUGAUUAAAAGUUAGCUCUUUUUACACUCAUCCCUGAUGUUUAUUGUCCAUCUGAGGGAAAACUGCCGCGAAGUUGCUUUCUAAAUCUCGAUCGCCCUCCAAAGUAAAAAGCAGCUAUUUUAAUGCAACCCUGUCGUUCAUUGUACACCUGACAGAAAACAGCCGGGAGCGAAGCUGUUUUCUGAAUCUCGAUCGCUCUCCAAAUUAAAGGGGCAGCUCUUUUUACACAGCUUGAAGUCGAUUGCCCAACUGAGGAAACUGCCGUGAAGCUGUUUUUGAAGUCUUGAAGCGGACCUGACUGAAAGAAUGAAGCAGGAUGACAGUAAAGAUGAAGCAAGUAUUGACUUGGCAAAAGACCCCUUUGGAUACUUAGAUGGUGAAGUUAAUCUCUUUAUGUUGAAAAUUGUAUUUAUGUGACACCUCUCACAACCUCGGGCUGUGAUAAUGCACCCAGUGAAAUAGUGUCAAUGUGGCAACGUAGAAAAUAUGGUGGACAAUUGUGCACACAGAUGUUACUAACAUUUUCAUUACUACCAUCGGGAAGGAGGUACAGGAGCCUGAGGUCUCACAGCAGCAGGUUCAGGACCAAUUAUUACCCUACAACCAUCAGACUCCUGAGCCAGCAUGGAUAACUUCACUCACCUCAACCCUGAACUGAUUCCACAGGCUCGUUUUCAAGGACUCAGCAAUUCAUGCUUUCAAUAUUAUUGAUUUUAUUAUUUGAACAAUUUGUCUUAUUUUUGCACAGUUUGUCAGUUUUUGUUUAUGUAUAUUUUUACAUAAGUCCUAUUGUAUUUCUUUAUUUUUUCUGUGAAUGCCUGCAAGAAAAUUAAUCUGAAGAUAGUAUAUGGUGACGUAUAUGUACUAUGAUAACAAAAUUUUCUUUGAACUUUGACACAACUAAUCAUGGGAUCCAGGAAGACCUAACUAACUGAAUACGUAAUUGUCUUGACUGUAGGAGGCAGGGGUUGAUAUUUUUCACAAUGGAGACCUGUGAUCAGUAUUGUGCCUCAGGGAUUAGUGCUGGGCUCAUGUUUGCCAUUUAUAUAAAUACUUAGAACAUAGAACAGGCAACAUAGUUCAGGCCCUUCAUUCCACAAUGUUGUGCCAAUCUUUUAACCUACUCUAAGAUCAAUUUAACCCUUCCGUCCCCCAAAACCCUCCAUUUUUCUGUCAUCCACGUGUCUGUAAGUCCAUAAGUUAUAAGAGCAUAUUUAGUCCAUUUGGCCCAUCGAGUCUGCUCUGCAAUUUUAUCAUGGCUGAUCCAUUUUUCCUCUCAGCCCCAAUCUCCUGUCUUCCCCACUGCAUAUCCUAUCAUGCCCUGACCAAUCAAGAAUCUAUCAACCACUGCCUUAAAUAUACACAGAAAUGUAAUGCCCUGGUUCACAUCUUUACUGUUAUGCUAUAGGUAUAUAAUAUAACAGCUCUGUUAAGAGCAGUCUGUUCAGCUUUCAGCCCAUUUGGGUUAUUGUUGAAGAUGAAGGAUGAUGCAGAAUGUGUGCCAUCCAAUUAGGGUGGUUGAAUUAAGGGGAGGUUUUUCGGGUGAGGGACACUAAGGUUGGUCUUGCGGAUUUGUUCAAGAGGAGAUGAAGAGAGAAGAUGCUGGGGAGAACCAGUCGUAGUGUACGACCUGGUGAGAGACCCGUUUGUUCGAGAUGGAUUGUGAGCGACUUUUGGAAGGUAGUGUGUGCUUUCACACUGACCGAGGGCCCAGCGUGUAAGUGACAGAGAAGUUCAAGAUGAGCUCCAACUUGUGCACAUUUGGCUGUUUAAUUAGAAUGGGCCCUUUUUGUUUUUCUUUCUUUUCUUUACUGUCCCUUUAGUUAAGUAAGAUUCAUGAAUAUAAUUCCUAUAGUUGUACGCAAUGUACUGUCUGUUGUUUCUUGGCACUGACUUGUAACAGGGCAGCAAAUUACACAGCAUCCACACAAAGCGGGGUUUAGGGUGGGAGAGGCGCCUCAAUCUCAUGGGUUUGUGUCUUCCCUAGACUUAUGCAGCCAAGGAAACCAGCAAAGUUUCAAAGACUUGGCCUCUGCAGCUGUCUGUGGCACAGAUUCCACUUAUUCACCACUCUCUGACUAUAGAAAUUCCUCCUCAACUUUCUUCUAAAAGAACGCCGCUCUCUCUGGUCUUUGACACUCCUACCAUAGGAAACAUCUGCUUUAUCAAGGCCUUUCACCAUUUAGUUGGUUUCAAUUAGGUCACCCCCUCAUUCUUCUAAAUCUAAUGACUACAGGCCAAGAAGCAUCAAACUUUCUUGAUAUGACAAGCCAUUUAACCCUCAAUCAUUUUUGUGAACAUCCUUUGAACUUCCUCCUGUUUCAGUACAUCCUUUCUAAAAUAAGGGGCCCAAAACUGCUCACAGUACUUCAAGUGAGGCCUCACCAGUGCUUUAUCGUCUCAACAUUACGUCCUUGCUUUUGUAUUCCAGUCCUCUUGAAAUAAAUGUUAACAUCACAUUUACCUUCUUCACCACAGAUUCAACCUGCAAAUUAACUUUAGAGAAUCCUGCACAAGGACUUUCAAGUCCCUUUGCACUUCAGUUUUUUGUACCUUCUCUCCAUUUAGAAAAUAGUCAACCCUUUCAUUUCUUCUACUAAAUUGCAUGACCAUACAUUUCCCGACACUGUAUUUCAUCUGCCCCUCCUUUGCCUAUUCUCCAAACCUCUGUUCUUCUGUAACUUCCCUACUUCUUCAAAACUACCUGCCCCUCCACCUAUUUUCAUAUCAUCUGCAAACUUUGCAACAAAGUCAUCAAUUCCAUCAUCUAAAUCAUUGACAUAUAAUGUAAAAAGAAUUGGUCCCAACACAGCCACUGUGGAACACCACUAGGCAUUGGCAGCCAACCAGAAAAGGCUUCCUUUAUUCCCACUCUUUGGCUCCAGCCAAUCAGCUGCUGCUUUAUCCAUGCUAAAAUCUGUCCUGAAUUUCUGCUAUUCUAGCAGGAAUCUUUCUUUAUUCAGAUGAGUCCUGAAUAAAGAUUUGUCAGCUAAGAAAGCAAGCUCAACAUUAUUAAACAAUUUGCUAACAAUUUUUUUGCUUAACCUUUCAGAGUAUGGAAUCAAACCAAUCAUUCCCCGGCUGAGCAAGCAAAUUAAGAAGGCACAGUCGUCGUUCUUGCAGAAAGCCGGACGAAGCAAGAGGGACGACCCAGACAUCGAGGACUAUUAUAAUUAGUUUGGAUAACUACUUGCAUCAAAAUGUUUAUACUUUAGUUUCUAGCUGUGAAGGAAACAUGAAAUUUGGGAACUGUGUAGAUGUGAAACCAUGUUAUAUAAAGUGUUUUAUUUGUUUAACUCAAAACAAAGACCAUUUUAAAUUAUUUUUAUUAUCGCUUUCUGAGUGUAUUGAUUUCCAGUGAGAUUUACAACGUGCAGAGUAUACUCUGAUGUCUCUCUUAGCAAGCCAUGCAACACAUAUGAGAAUGUUAUUAAAAAGACUAUUGGGAGGAUGUGACUGUGGCUAAGAGCUACACUAAUCCUCACAUUCAUCCAUUUCUGCAUCGAUUCCUCCAUAUUCACCAAGAUCAGGAAUCCAGCUUUUCCCUGUCAAGACUAUGUGUAGGUCCUCAGCAAGCUGCAAACUUGAACCGAGUCCCCUAUCCACUCCCAGGUCAGUGUGGGGAGGGAAGUCUAGGUUUGACAAUAUCCACAGUUCUAGGGAGGAUAUCAACAAGAUGGUGACAUCUUUUUUUUUUACUAUUUGCAAGAUUUGUCUUCUUUUGCAAAUUGGAUAUGUGGGAGUUCUGCUGUGAGUGUAUUUUAGUGAAUUCUAUUGUGUUUCUUUGUGAGUGUGUGCAAGGAGGUGAAUCUCAAGGUUGUAUUUGAUAAUAAAUGUGAACUUUGAGAUACUCAGGACAGUUCCCAUUUCCCCAACAUUUUUACUCGUGCAGAAUUAAGUCGCUCUGUGAACAAUACCUUGCCUAAAAGGACCUUGCUUAGCAAUCCUAUCUAGUUGCUCAAGAGUCUGUGACACUUUCAGUAGUUCUAUUAUGGUUUGGAAACUCAGUGAAUGAAUGGAGUGAGACCCCAUGGUUUCUCCUGAGUAAGAGAAGCUGUUAAAUGCUUUGGUUAAUGCUAGCAGGUCAAUAUGUGUGUCUUUUAUUUCACCGAUAACUGAUUACUGAAUUACCUAUUAAUCCAGGGGUUCUCGGCCUUUUUUAUGCCAUGGACCCCUACCAUUAAGUGAGAGGUCCAUGGACCCAGGUUGGAAGGACAGUAUUAACCAUUCAUUGAUGGUAUUGUGUCAAGCUCUUAAUUUAAUUUCAAUGCGUGUAUUCCUGUUUGUUUAUCAAACUAGAGAUCAGAGAGGAAGAGUGCAAUCACAGUCCUCCUUUGUAUAUUGAAAGGAGCAACUCCAAGGAAUUACGCUGAAUUGCAGCUGUAACUCAAAAUGUUCUGUCUUAAAUUGUGUUGUUUAAGAUCAAAAACCACAAAUUGUAUGUUAGAAUAACUUGAGGAUUGACUUAACCUUAACUUGUGUUGAAACAUUACAAUAAA